CUUUAUAUUUAGCAUAAUUCCAACAAAAUGCUCAUGCAAUAGAACUAUGAACAACGUCACAUUAAGUUUUCUGUAUACACAAAUGCAUGAUAUCGUCGACAUCGCCGACGACCACAGAUUGUUGUCGCAACAUCUCUUCUUCGACCGUGAGCCAGUCACGUAUCUGUAAUCAAACGUGUGUCGGUGAGAAAUAUCCCCAUCGUUUGAAAAUGGUUCAAAUCAGAUGGAAAAGAGCGAAAAAAGGGAAGAACGCAGGACCGAAAUUGGGAUAUUUGCUGCCGGAAAUUAGUAGGGAGUGUCCGUUCGU